CACCUACAACAUUGUAACCUUCUCACAUUAUAAGUUCCUAAUUGUGUAUCUCACCGCCAUACAGAGAUCUUCAAGACUUCACCACAGCCCAAAUCACUCUGUUGGGCCCUUAGUAAAGCAAGUAAUUUUACCCAAAGUUAAGCCUUAACUAAAGCUCAGUGCAAGCCAUGAAGAGCCCCCCAAAUUUACAUAAGGAAAAGCCUAGCUUGGGAAUUGGGACAAAUCCAAGAAGAAAGUGUUCAAUCUUCUAAGAUUUAGCCAUAACCCAGAUCUGAAUUAAAA
rnacentral:lncRNA from 1 species